CUUGCAUCGCGGUGACCGGCGAAUCCGCCGAAGGCAAUGCAAGACGCGUACCGGGUGCUGCGACAAUGCGCGGCGCGCGG
rnacentral:ncRNA from 1 species